UCCCGCUGUCUGCAAGCCAUUAGGUGGCGCUAUGCCCCAGAGUCUUGAGCGUUCGCAACAUUGUGGGGCUGGGUGUGGACACGAUGGAGUCCUGAUCGCACACAAUCUAUCCAAAACGCGACGCUGCUCAGCGGGAGGACUAAGUGGCCUUUGUGGACCUCCUGAAACAGAAGCUACAUCUUGACGGGGAUCAGAGAAUCUCUCUUUGUGAAGCUCUGCAGCAGCCGUUCACCACAAUGUGUCACCUGACCGAGCUCUCUGACAGCAAAGACUACCUGAACACCUCCCAGAAUAAGAUGAGUGUCUGUCAGCAGAUCAGGUGAACACUCCUGGAACAUCUGAACCUGAUCAGGAGUCAGGCGCUGGGUUUUGUGAUGACAUUCCAGCUACCAGGUCAUCUGAUCAAGUCAAACCAUCUGACUUCAAUAAAGACUGCUCUACAGGCGAGUCUGACAGAGUUUCCUGGAACUCUGUUACAUCCGUCUCCUCAAUGUUCAUUUCCAGCUUCAAUGAUGAAGAUUCAUCUUCCAAGUCUUCUGAUGGAGCAACAGAAACAGACUCCACAUUCUCUGCUUCCUCUGCAGCUCCUCUUCAGCAGCUUCAACAAAGCUGCUGAAGAGGAUCCAGAGAUUCUUCAGUGGCCUCAGAGCAACUCUUUGCUGCUGCUGGCAUCCCUCUGUAGAGGACUGAUAUUAUUCUUUUAUUUUAUUGAUAUUACUUUGAUAAUUUUUGCUUGGUUACGUUAGUUAAGUUAGUUUUACUUAAUGAUUAGGCCUUAUUUUGUGGUUCCAUUAGUUUUACUUUGUUACAUUAGUUGUUAAGUUAGUUUUACUUCAUGGCUUUACUUUGUUAUUUUACUUGUCACAUUAGUUUUACUCUGUGACAUUAGUUGCUAAGUUAGUUUUACUUUAUGGUUUUACUUCAUUUUGUUUUACAUUUAUUUUAUUUUGUUAUUUUACUUGUUACAUUGUUUUUGCUUCAUUAGUUUUACUGUGCUACAUUUUGCAAACUCAUUGCAAUCUCAUUGCUUCUUUAUGAGUUUUCCUUCAUUACAUGUUGCAAACAAACUGUUUGCCUUGUUAGAUGUAAUUUCAUGCAUGUUGCAAAUAUAAUGUUUGCUUCAUUAAACUGUAGAACAAUACCUCAGAAUACCUGCAUUACUGCUGCAAGUCAACAGGAAAAUACAGGCCUGUUGUUUAGAGCAGUGAUUCCCAACCAGAGGAAACUGCUUCAGUAGUCAGGAGAAACAUGGAAAGAUUCACUGUACUGAUUUAAAAAAAUUGAAAUUACAGUUUAAUAAAAGAACUGAGUGAAUCAAU